CUAAUAAUUUUUUCCAUGACUGUAUAUACAUACAUAUAUACGUACAUAUAUAUAUAUACACACAUACACAUGUAUACAUAUAUAGACAUAUGUAUUUGUUUCUGUCCUCCUAUAUGACAGUUAACUUUACUUGUGCGCCAAACAAGACCUUUGUGGGUGUCAUUUAGGCCUUUGAGCGACAUAACUGACAUUUUUCACCAUUUUCUGACAUUUAAAAAAACAAACAACCAAUCAAUUAGAAACAGCUAAGCAUCUGUUGUUAAAAAUGACAUGAUUGAAUGAUUUGAUGGAAAGUUUAAGAAUAAUGUGUAAGCCAGAACAGAAUGGAACUGAAUCCCUCUUACUAAACUACAAAAACCACAAGUGCAAGAAAACAAUACACAUUUGACAGAAUCAGUCUGACAUAAUAUUAAUCAUGAGUUUGUAGAAAAAUGUGGCCGCAGUCAAACAACAGUGUCACUGUUGUUGCCAGCUGACAGGAUUAGCUAAAGAACAGGGCUGACGAAGCCAGAGUCCAGCAUGGCAAAGCUUUUCUUAUUCAGCCACACUGUAAAGUUACUGUGUCCGUGAGAUUACUGACCAGCUCCUACUUAAGCAAUAUUACCCAAGAGGGUGUGCAAAAUUAGUCCCGUCAGUAGACUCAUAUGUGUGAUGGAACGUAGUUUACCACUCCAGCAAAUAAUCCUACCCUUAGUAACGACCUAGCAACUGAAAGGAUUUUCUAGUCCGAUGAGUGAACUCUGAGCUGACCAAUGUUUUAUCGCGGUUUCGGAAUUUCCCGAACUACCCUAAAAUACCAAAUAAAAGCUGGGGCGUUUAUUUGUUUCAGUCACUUAACAGACCAGGUGGCAAUUUGGGACAGGCGUUUAAUUAAUUCCUCUCAAAAAUCCGGGAUGAAAAUGUCACAAACUCCUCCAACUUUUCGGUGAAUUCUCUGGCAUCCUGCUGGGCAAUUCGUAAGGCUUCCGCAAGUGAAGUUGUUGCGGCGGAGGAAACGCUGCAGCCAACCACCACUCCCGGCAAACUCCUCAUCGCUGCUGUCACUCACGGUGGCGUACAUUUGUUUCGCUAUCACCCUGAUUAUUUUGUGGGACACUCUCUCGUGGCCUGCCCGUUUGCUGAUCACCCAUCCCCGCAUGUUUAUCUCAGGCUCCUUGCUAGCCUUCUUCCUCUCUCCACCAGGCAGCCUGGCCCUGUUGUUCUCCUCCUCGGACAGCUCCGUUUUAUUUUUUCGCAGCUCAACAGACAGCCAUUAGAAGACUAGUGUGGAGUGACACUUGGCAUACUAACGCGUCACGAUGGGGGAGGCUUCAAAACUCCACUGUUAAUGGGUAUGAGAAACUUCUCACAAUGAACAGUGACAGCAGCAAAGCUAACUGACCUGUUACCCUUUAACAUGCCUGUGUGCCACAGUGUGAUUCGCAUCGCACAACACUGGCUGUUCUAGGUAAUGAAUAUGAACCACUUCACUUUAUAUUUCGACAGCAAAUGUAUGCAGCUAGACAACGACACGUUUAUGUACGCAACAGCCAACACACGAUGAACUUAUAUACGGAGUGUUGAUGUAGACCAGUCGUGGCCUGCGCACUAAAGCUAGAGGCGGACCGUGAUGCGCCCCCGUGGCUGACGGCGCCCCUAGCAUUUGCCUAUACUGCCUAUGCCCAGGCCCGGCUCUGCUGAUGGAUUGCAUACAACACCAACACCUGAUGAAUACAGGAGAAAUUGUGGCUAUACUGGGGUAAUAAACAUUUAUUGAACAUGUAACAUAAUUAUUGUCAGACAAUGAAAUGGCAUUGGGAUGUGUGGGGUGCCUCUGUAGAAAUCAAGGGUUUCUUGACACCGCUGUUAGGAAACUGGAAGGUCCUGCUUCAUUCAUGUGGCACAAGUCCACGAGGACAAACAGAAUGAAACAGAUUGCCGUGCUGAAAUUCAAUCCAGCAUAGCAAUAAAGAUGUAAAUGCAAAAAGAGAACAAAAAGACAUCUUUG